AACACCGAUUCCUGUACAAUCACCGAAGUUAAGCAACGUUGAGCCUUGACAGUUCCUAGAUGGGAGAUCCUUUGGGAAUACCAGGUGCUGUAA